GUCUAACCGAAGGGAAGGUGGCCCGACCAGGGCUCAGGUCUGCGUACUAGAGACCUGGCUCCUUCCAGCUCUGCAGAGCAGAGGAUCUGGGGCCCAGGUAGACCAGUCUCUUAGUGAAGUUGGUUCUUAAUGAAGAUCUAGAUACAGCAAAUGGUUGUUCCAUAAAAAUCUCAGCAGCAUCUGGCCUCUCACAAACACCAGCGCCACAAAAGGAGCCAGCGCAUCUCCGACUUCCUGCGCAAGAUGCUGUGUGGAAAGAAACGCAGUUUUGUGCGUUAAGAUGGUAAUUUGGGGCUGGGGAGAUGUCUCUGCAGGGAAAGGCGCUUGCCUGCCUGGAAGCCAACCAACCCUCGUGAGCUGGUGGGAGAAAACCAACUCCUGCAAGUUAGCCUCGGACCUCCACCUUCGGAGAUUUCCUUCUCUCCCACCCUGCCCCCCACCGAGCCACCCCCUCCCUAGUCUCUAAUGUAAAUAAGAAGU
rnacentral:lncRNA from 1 species